rnacentral:rRNA from 1 species
CCUACGGGAGGCAGCAGUGAGGAAUAUUGGUCAAUGGACGGGAGUCUGAACCAGCCAAGUAGCGUGAAGGAUGAAUGCCCUAUGGGUUGUAAACUUCUUUUACAUGGGAAUAAAACGUUCCACGUGUGGGAGUUUGCAUGUACCAUAUGAAUAAGGAACGGCUAACUCCGUGCCAGCAGCCGCGGUAAUACGGAGGAGCCGAGCGUUAUCCGGAUUUAUUGGGUUUAAAGGGAGCGUAGGUGGAUUGUUAAGUCAGUUGUGAAAGUUUGCGGCUCAACCGUAAAACUGCAGUUGAAACUGGCCGUCUUGAGUACAGUAGAGGUAGGCGGAAUUCGUGGUGUAGCGGUGAAAUGCUUAGAUAUCACGAGGAACCCCGAUUGCGAAGGCAGCCUGCUAAACUGUGACUGACAUUGAGGCUCGAAAGUGUGGGUAUCAAACAGGAUUAGAUACCCGAGUAGUC